rnacentral:rRNA from 1 species
GCGACCGUACUACUUUGAAAAUAUCUGUUCUAAUCUGAUCAUCGGAGUUAAGCAACCUCAUGUGCAGUUGGUACCUCAAUGAGUGACCGACUGUGAAUAACGAGUGUUGGAGCCA